UUGACCUCGGAUCAGGUAGGGAUACCCGCUGAACUUAAGCAUAUCAAUAAGCGGAGGAAAAGAAACCAACAGGGAUUGCCUUAGUAACGGCGAGUGAAGCGGCAAUAGCUCAAAUUUGAAAGCUGGCGUCUUCGACGUCCGCGUUGUAAUUUGUAGAGGAUGCUUCGGCGAGGACUCCUGCCUAAGUCCCCUGGAACGGGGCGUCACAGAGGGUGAGAAUCCCGUAUGUGGCGGGCGGUCCAAGCCAUGUGAAGCUCCUUCGACGAGUCGAGUUGUUUGGGAAUGCAGCUCUAAAUGGGAGGUAAAUUUCUUCUAAAGCUAAAUAUUGGCCAGAGACCGAUAGCGCACAAGUAGAGUGAUCGAAAGAUGAAAAGCACUUUGGAAAGAGAGUUAAAAAGUACGUGAAAUUGUUGAAAGGGAAGCGCUUGCAACCAGACUCGCUCGCAGUUGCUCAGCCGGCCUCUUGGCCGGUGUACUCUUCUGCGAUCGGGCCAGCAUCAGUUCGGGCGGCUGGAUAAAGGUGUCGGGAAUGUAGCACCCUUCGGGGUGUGUUAUAGCCCGGCGCGGAAUGCGGCCAGCCUGGACUGAGGAUCUCGCUUCGGCAAGGAUGCUGGCGUAAUGGUUGUAAGCGGCCCGUCUUGAAACACGGACCAAGGAGUCUAACAUCUAUGCGAGUGUUUGGGUGUCAAACCCAUGCGCGUAAUGAAAGUGAACGGAGGUGGGAACCCUUCACGGGGUGCACCAUCGACCGAUCCUGAUGUCUUCGGAUGGAUUUGAGUAAGAGCAUAGCUGUUGGGACCCGAAAGAUGGUGAACUAUGCCUGAAUAGGGUGAAGCCAGAGGAAACUCUGGUGGAGGCUCGCAGCGGUUCUGACGUGCAAAUCGAUCGUCAAAUUUGGGUAUAGGGGCGAAAGACUAAUCGAACCAUCUAGUAGCUGGUUCCUGCCG
rnacentral:rRNA from 1 species